rnacentral:rRNA from 1 species
CAGUCGCCACGGUAAAACGAAGGGGGCUAGCGUUGCUCGGAAUGACUGGGCGUAAGGGGCGCGUAGGCGGUUCGUACAGUUGGAUGUGAAAUUCCUGGGCUUAACCUGGGGGCUGCAUUCAAUACGUGCGGGCUUGAGUGUGGAAGAGGGUUGUGGAAUUCCCAGUGUAGAGGUGAAAUUCGUAGAUAUUGGGAAGAACACCGGUGGCGAAGGCGGCAACCUGGUCCAUAACUGACGCUGAGGCGCGAAAGCGUGGGGAGCAAACAGGAUUAGAUACCCGAGUAGUCCCUGUCUCUUAUAC